rnacentral:rRNA from 1 species
AGGUCACACCCGUUCCCAUACCGAACACGGAAGUUAAGCUCUUCAGCGCCAAUGGUAGUUGGGGGCUUCCCCCCGCAAGAGUAGGACGUUGCUAGGC